rnacentral:misc_RNA from 1 species
AAACACCUCAAGUCCGCUCUUCAUCUUUGAAGACGGAUUUGGACUUGAGCGAUCCCAACAGGAGGGCUUUCCUUCUGGCGGGUUGCUUGAAAUGCAGGUGCAGCUGGACUUUCUUCUGGGCUAUAAGCAUAUUUAUUUAGUCCCGUUAAACGGAUUAUUACUUUUUGCUGCAGCCAACGUAAAGGUUGAUUGUCCUCUUGCUGACUGAUGCAGGAAUUUUCGGGGGAUCGGCAACGAUUUCCCGUUAA